rnacentral:rRNA from 1 species
AUUGAACGCUGGCGGAAUGCUUUACACCUGCAAGUCGAACGGUAGAGGGGGCAACCCCUCGAGAGUGGCGAACGGGUGAGUAAUAUAUCGGAACGUGCCCAGUCGUGGGGGAUAACGUAGCGAAAGUUACGCUAAUACCGCAUACGAUCUACGGAUGAAAGCGGGGGAUCGCAAGACCUCGCGCAAUUGAGCCGGCCGAUAUCAGAUUAGGUAGUUGGUGGGGUAAAGGCUCACAAAGCCAACGAUCUGUAGCUGGUCUGAGAGGACGACCAGCCACACUGGAACUGAGACACGGUCCAGACUCCUACGGGAGGCAGCAGUGGGGAAUUUUGGACAAUGGACGCAAGUCUGAUCCAGCCAUUCCGCGUGCAGGAUGAAGGCCCUCGGGUUGUAAACUGCUUUUGUACGGAACGAAAAGGUUUCCAUUAAUACUGGGAGCUCAUGACGGUACCGUAAGAAUAAGCACCGGCUAACUACGUGCCAGCAGCCGCCGUAA